CCUACGGGUGACAGCAGUGAGGAAUAUUGGUCAAUGGGCGUAAGCCUGACCCAGCCAAGUCGCGUGAGGGAUGAAGGUUCUAUGGAUCGUACACCUCUUUUAUCAGGGAAUAAAGUGCGGGACGUGUCCCGUUUUGUAUGUACCUUAUGAAUAAGGAUCGGCUAACUCCGUGCCAGCAGCCGCGGUAAUACGGAGGAUCCGAGCGUUAUCCGGAUUUAUUGGGUUUAAAGGGUGCGUAGGCGGCCUUUUAAGUCAGCGGUGAAAGUCUGUGGCUCAACCAUAGAAUUGCCGUUGAAACUGGCAGGCUUGAGUAGGUUUGAGGCAGGCGGAAUGCGUGGUGUAGCGGUGAAAUGCUUAGAUAUCACGCAGAACCCCGAUUGCGAAGGCAGCCUGCCAAGCCAUGACUGACGCUGAUGCACGAAAGCGUGGGGAUCAAACAGGAUUAGAUACCCCUGUAGUC
rnacentral:rRNA from 1 species